rnacentral:rRNA from 1 species
UACAGAGGGUGCAAGCGUUGUUCGGAAUUAUUGGGCGUAAAGCGCGUGUAGGCGGCUUUGCAAGUCGGAUGUGAAAGCCCACGGCUCAACCGUGGAAGUGCAUCCGAAACUGCAUGGCUUGAGUCUCGGAGAGGAAGGUGGAAUGCUUGGUGUAGAGGUGAAAUUCGUAGAUAUCAAGCAGAACACCUGCGGCGAAGGCGGCCUUCUGGACGAUGACUGACGCUGAGACGCGAAAGCGUGGGGAGCAAACAGG